rnacentral:rRNA from 1 species
UGCAGUCGAGCGGACAGAAGGGAGCUUGCUCCCGGAUGUUAGCGGCGGACGGGUGAGUAACACGUGGGUAACCUGCCUGUAAGACUGGGAUAACUCCGGGAAACCGGAGCUAAUACCGGAUAGUUCCUUGAACCGCAUGGUUCAAGGAUGAAAGACGGUUUCGGCUGUCACUUACAGAUGGACCCGCGGCGCAUUAGCUAGUUGGUGAGGUAACGGCUCACCAAGGCGACGAUGCGUAGCCGACCUGAGAGGGUGAUCGGCCACACUGGGACUGAGACACGGCCCAGACUCCUACGGGAGGCAGCAGUAGGGAAUCUUCCGCAAUGGACGAAAGUCUGACGGAGCAACGCCGCGUGAGUGAUGAAGGUUUUCGGAUCGUAAAGCUCUGUUGUUAGGGAAGAACAAGUGCAAGAGUAACUGCUUGCACCAUGACGGUACCUAACCAGAAAGCCACGGCUAACUACGUGCCAGCAGCCGCGGUAAUACGUAGGUGGCAAGCGUUGUCCGGAAUUAUUGG